AGGGUUGUAGCUCAGUGGUGGAGAAUGUGUGCUUUGCAUGCCAAAGAUCCCAGGUUUGAACUCUGGCAUCUUUC